GAUUGGUUCACUUGCGAAGUGAUUAAAAGGGAAUCAGGUGCGAAUCCUGAACUGUCCCGCAGCUGUAAGUUGUCCUUCAUGGUGCAAACACAACGUCACUGAGAGUAUUGUUUAGCAUUUCUCGGGAAGACGUUUGCAUCGGCAACAAGUCAGAAGACCUGCCUUUCACCA
rnacentral:ncRNA from 1 species